CGUAGGGUGCGAGCGUUAAUCGGAAUUACUGGGCGUAAAGCGUGUGUAGGUGGUUGUCAUAGUCAGGUGUGAAAGCCUUGAGCUCAACUCAAGAAAUGCACUUGAUACUGGGCAGCUAGAGGACCGGAGAGGAUAGUGGAAUUCCCAGUGUAGUGGUGAAAUACGUAGAGAUUGGGAAGAACACCAGUGGCGAAGGCGGCUAUCUGGACGGUUUCUGACACUAAGACACGAAAGCGUGGGGAGCAAACAGGAUUAGAUACCCUGGUAGUCCACGCCGUAAACGAUGGGUGCUAGACGUUGGCGAGCUUGCUCGUCAGUGUCGCAGCUAACGCGUUAAGCACCCCGCCUGGGGAGUACGGCCGCAAGGUUG
rnacentral:rRNA from 1 species